GGCAUUAAAAUGAAAUUAAAAAAAAAAGAAUAAUUUAUGAAUAUGAAUGUUGGCAACAACCAAACUUCAUGUACCAAUUACGAUUAGAUUUUCAAACGGAGUGCCAGUUAUAACUGGACUUUUAGAGACAACCAACAAUAAUUGGUUUUUAAGACCAAAGUGCCAAUUACUACUGGACUCUAAAUAAACUCUAAUAACCAUGGUAUUUUGAAAAGAUACUAGUAAC
rnacentral:lncRNA from 1 species